UCACUCAGAUGAUGAAGCUGGAAGUGUUUUAUAAGUGAUUUGGUAUUUUUUGGUGUAAGGGAACUCAUCAGCUCAGCAAAUUUAAGGUUUAAGGCAACAAGCAGAUAAUAGAUGACUUUUUUUCUUAAAACCCAGAGGAAAAACUUGCAGUUAGAACAGUUUAAGCAAAACUGGCUGUGAUCAUGAGUUAAGAUUGCAAAUGUUGGCUGAAUUUCAGGAGCUACGUGCCUUUGACUGAAGGGGAGGUUAAACUGAACAGAGUAAUAAUGGGAGUUCAAGGCAUGGAAGGGAGACCAGAACACAGACUUGGAUCCUACAUUCCUUGCACAUUUCAGAAUAACUGAUGAACAAUCAAGCCCCUAGUCUCUCUCCUAAAACUCAGCUAGUUCUGAAUAGGUAUUGUAGCUUGGCAAAACAUUUUGGAUGGGUGAGCACCUCGGCAGCCAUGAAGUCAAGUUUUUUAGAAGAGGAAUCUACAGUUGGCCAUGAGCCCUGUCUCCGAGGGAUCUUCUUCACCAACAUAUGGCUGUGCUCAGAAUGAUUACCCUGGCCUUCAGUCUGCUCAUUUAAGUCUAAUAAGGUCCUCAAAGGUGACUGUAUGACUCAUACAAUGAAGUCAUUUUUCCAAUUAGCAUUCUGACAAAUGCAUUAUAAGUAGAGCUGCUUCAAUAGGUCUUCACAGCUGGGGAAGAGAUCAGGUAUCACAAGAUUUUUCAGUUACUUUCUGCUGGUGUGGUCCAAGAAAUCCUAUUGAUUCUGAGUCUGACUCUUUGUACAGCUGAUGGAUAUCACAUAUCUUAUGAGGCUGACCUGUUCUUAAAACAAGUCCUUUCUACAAGUCUAGAUGGCAGUAUUUAUACAAGGCACAGAAAAUAACUUUGUCCUUCCUUAGAUGUGAGUGAUAUCCACUACAAAAUAUCUUCCCUUUAAACUGCCUUUUGGUUGUUUAAACAACUAAUUUAGAAUAAUUUCCCUGUAUAUUUAUGCCUCUUUGUUUUGCCAUUCACGAACAUUCACACAAACAGGUUUAAGUUUGCAUGAAUGUUGGGGGAAGAAGGAAUCAGAAAUCAGUGGGGUUUUUUUUAAAGUAUUUGUUAUUUACUAUGCAGUAUUUGUUAUUUGCCCAUCAUUAUUCUCCUGUUUAUAAAAUUGAUCAUCCGAUGAGGAAACAGCACCAGCCUGUGACAUAGGUGAAUUACCAUACACGUCGUAUAGUGAAUAGUCAAAGUGAACAGUUGGCAAAACAGCCCGGAGACUGAAAUUUGGCAAUAAAACUGUUCCCAGAACAAUUACAAACAAUGAAUACAUUCAUAGAAAUCCAAGUCCUUUACCAAAUGAUUUGCAAACAGGAAAAAAAGGAAUAUAUCCUUUUAGAUAAUAUAUUCACUCAGCCAGCUCUAAUUGCACAUAUACAAUGUAAAAAAAAAAUCAAGCUUGACCUUGUUUGGUAAAAGACUUGGUUGUCCGUGAACCAUUUAUGUGCCAAACUUCAACUUUUGUUCAGAGAUACA